ACGCCAACAGUUGCCAGCUCGUCCUCCGGGAUGGUGGGGACGACUGUUCGGACGCCUCUGCUAAAGAGGAGGAAGGAAGUGGGCAACGGUAGGUCAGCAUGCCCCGAAUUAUCUGGGCUACACGCGGGCUACAAUGGGUGGGACAAUGGGUAUCGACACCGAAAGGUGAAGGCAAUCUCCUAAACCCAUCCGUAGUUCGGAUUGUGGGCUGCAACUCGCCCACAUGAAGCUGGAAUCUGUAGUAAUCGUGUCUCAAAAUGGCACGGUGAAUAUGUCCCUGCUCCUU
rnacentral:rRNA from 1 species